rnacentral:rRNA from 1 species
CCUACGGGUGGCAGCAGUGGGGAAUAUUGGACAAUGGGGGGAACCCUGAUCCAGCGACGCCGCGUGAGUGAAGAAGUAUUUCGGUAUGUAAAGCUCUAUCAGCAGGGAAGAAAGAAAUGACGGUACUUGACUAAGAAGCCCCGGCUAACUACGUGCCAGCAGCCGCGGUAAUACGUAGGGGGCGAGCGUUAUCCGGAUUCACUGGGUGUAUAGGGAGCGUUGACGGCCAUGCAAGCCAGAGGGGAAAGCCCGGGGCCCAACCCCGGGACUGCCCUUGGGACUGCAGGGCUAGAGUGCGGGAGAGGCAGGCGGAAUUCCUGGUGUAGCGGUGAAAUGCGUAGAUAUCAGGAGGAACACCGGCGGCGAAGGCGGCCUGCUGGACCAAGACUGACGUUGAGGCUCGAAAGCGUGGGGAGCGAACAGGAUUAGAUACCCGGGUAGUC